GUCAAUCGAACAAAAUCCUCAUUUGUCAAAUUUGAAACAAAAAUACUCGAUUUUAAAUGCAGGAUUAUAACCCAUAAUUUGCUACAGAAUAACAACCAAACCCAAUAAUCCAUUUUAGACGGCAUGCCUAUGGUUAAAACUUAUCCCACAAACCAUUUUCCUACAAUCCAGAUCCUAGCUUCUUCACAUGGAGCAAGUUAAUAUGUGAUUCAAAAUUUUACAUACCAGUAACCGAAGUUGCAUAGCAUCCUGCCCAUGAUUAGUAAUCAUCAGUCCCAUGUUGAUGGACCGCCAAC
rnacentral:lncRNA from 1 species